GCUGAGAUGUCCGAGUGGUUAAGGAGAUGGACUUGAAAUCCAUUGGGUAUUACCCGCGUAGGUUCAAAUCCUGCUCUCAGCG
rfam:Clunio marinus genome assembly, contig: CLTMA_superscaffold_59